AGCGCGCGUAGGCCGUUGAGUUAGUUAAUUGUGAAAUCCCAAAGCUUAACUUUGGAACUGCAAUUAAAACUGCUCGACUAGAGUUUGAUAGAGGAAAGCGGAAUACAUAGUGUAGAGGUGAAAUUCGUAGAUAUUAUGUAGAACACCAGUUGCGAAGGCGGCUUUCUGGAUCAACACUGACGCUGAGGCGCGAAAGUAUGGGUAGCAAAGAGGAUUAGAUACCCUCGUAGUCCAUACCAUAAACGAUGAUUGCUAGAUGUUGGAAAUUUAUUUUCAGUAUCGCAGCUAACGCAUUAAGCAAUCCGCCUGGGGAGUACGACCGCAAGGUUAAAACUCAAAUGAAUUGACGGGGACCCGCACAAGCGGUGGAGCAUGUGGUUUAAUUCGAAGAUACGCGCAGAACCUUACCAACCCUUGACAUGUCUGUCGCGAGUUUAGGAAACUAGACUUUUCGGUUCGGCCGGACAGAACACAGGUGCUGCAUGGCUGUCGUCAGCUCGUGUCGUGAGAUGUUGGGUUAAGUCCCGCAACGAGCGCAACCCCUACUUUUAGUUGCCAUCAGGUCAUGCUGGGCACUCUGAAAGAACUGCCAGCGAUAAGCUGGAGGAAGGUGGGGAUGACGUCAAGUCCUCAUGGCCCUUACGGGUUGGGCUACACACGUGCUACAAUGGUAGUGACAAUGAGAUGCAAAGUGGCGACGCUAAGCUAAACUCA
rnacentral:rRNA from 1 species